AUGAACGCUGGCGGCGUGCCUAAUACAUGCAAGUCGAGCGAACGGACGAGAAGCUUGCUUCUCUGAUGUUAGCGGCGGACGGGUGAGUAACACGUGGAUAACCUACCUAUAAGACUGGGAUAACUUCGGGAAACCGGAGCUAAUACCGGAUAAUAUUUUGAACCGCAUGGUUCAAAAGUGAAAGACGGUCUUGCUGUUACUUAUAGAUGGAUCCGCGCUGCAUUAGCUAGUUGGUAAGGUAACGGCUUACCAAGGCAACGAUGCAUAGCCGACCUGAGAGGGUAAACGGCCACACUGUAACUGAGACACGGUCCAGACUCCUACGGGAGGCAGAAGUAGGGAAUCUUCCGCAAUGGGCGAAAGCCUGACGGAGCAACGCCGCGUGAGUGAUGAAGGUCUUCGGAUCGUAAAACUCUGUUAUUAGGGAAGAACAUAUGUGUAAGUAACUGUGCACAUCUUGACGGUACCUAAUCAGAAAGCCACGGCUAACUACGUG
rnacentral:rRNA from 1 species